rnacentral:rRNA from 1 species
UGGGGAAUAUUGCACAAUGGGCGCAAGCCUGAUGCAGCCAUGCCGCGUGUAUGAAGAAGGCCUUCGGGUUGUAAAGUACUUUCAGUCGGGAGGAAGGUGUCAAGGUUAAUAACCUUGGCAAUUGACGUUACCGACAGAAGAAGCACCGGCUAACUCCGUGCCAGCAGCCGCGGUAAUACGGAGGGUGCAAGCGUUAAUCGGAAUUACUGGGCGUAACGCGCACGCAGGCGGUUGAUUGAGUCAGAUGUGAAAUCCCCGGGCUUAACCCGGGAAUUGCAUCUGAUACUGGUCAGCUAGAGUCUUGUAGAGGGGGGUAGAAUUCCAGGUGUAGCGGUGAAAUGCGUAGAGAUCUGGAGGAAUACCGGUGGCGAAGGCGGCCCCCAGGACAAAGACUGACGCUCAGGUGCGAAAGCGUGGGGAGCAAACAGG